AAUCAACGCUGGCGGCGUGCCUCAGACAUGCAAGUCGAACGAUUAAGACUUCCUUCGGGAAGUGUAUAAAGUGGCGCACGGGUGAGUAACACGUAAGUAAUCUACCCUCGAGUGGGGAAUAACGUUCGGAAACGAACGCUAAUACCGCAUCACGCAGCGGCACCGCAAGGUUACCGUUGUUAAAGGAGUAAUUCGCUUGAGGAGGAGCUUGCGGCAGAUUAGCUAGUUGGUAAGGUAACGGCUUACCAAGGCUACGAUCUGUAUCCGGUCUAAGAGGACGGUCGGACAAACUGACACUGAAUAACGGGUCAGACUCCUACGGGAGGCAGCAGUCGGGAAUUUUGGGCAAUGGGCGAAAGCCUGACCCAGCAACGCCGCGUGAAGGAUGAAGUAUUUCGGUAUGUAAACUUCGAAAGAAUGGGAAGAAUAAAUGACGGUACCAUUUAUAAGCUCCGGCUAACUACGUGCCAGCAGCCGCGGUAACAC
rnacentral:rRNA from 1 species